CCGACUUUAAUGCCAAAUGUUAUGAGACAGGACUUGGCACCUCCUAGAAGUGUUCACAUAUACUAAAUGAUCUGCUAUUAUGGAAAUCAUUAAAUGACAUGUUUCUUGCUCGAAAGAGGUCACUGAACAUCUGAUUGGCUGGGCACCUGCUCUUGUUCCUUCAGUUGAGGUUUUAGAGCUCGCUAGAUGCUUGUGGAGAGCUGAUGAGAUGGGAAGAAGGCACCCCACCUCGAUGGACCUGAAAGACAGAGCCUGCGAACUGAGAAGCGGGUGUGUGGAAUAACCCUGACUAGGCAUAGAAGACCUCCGUCUUAUUUGAGCCUGCAAAAGGAGGUCAUUGAAGGCCCAGUUAGUUCUUCUUGGGGAGCGCCCCCUUCAGGUGUCCCUGAGGUUCACAGCAGCCAUGGAGGGAGCCCUUUGUUACUGGGAGAAGCUGCAGAGUUCUGGAAAGCAGGGGAUUCACAGGCGGAUGUGGUCGAGGUUGGGCUGGAAGGGAGAUUGGGAAGCUCUUUCUGAGGGUGGAAUUGUUAGUGUCCUGGGGCUGUUUCUUGACUUGGUCAAAUAAAACAUCUGGAUAUAGGUAAGAAGUGCCUUAAUUGUAAAGGAGUAUUGCAAGAGGAGGAAAGCACCAACUGUAAGAUAUUUGUGGAUCUCACAGUUGAAGCAGAAAAGGCCUUUCUUUCAUAGGGAGGAGCAAACAUGAUUCAAGGUGGGAGGGGAAGGGCACGACUCCUGGGCUAAAUCCGAUCCCUGAUCAGAGAAUGUUUCACCCUGAAGUCAGCCUGUUCUUAGGAGGGGCAUAAAGAGGGGUUGAAUGUUGACUCAGGCUGUGGGUGGGACAAACCUCAGGCACCUUGGAGAAGGGGAGAAAUUUAAGCAACUUUGGUUAACACAUAUUUUGUUUUGACCAUCGAAGAUAAAACUCUUUAUUUAAUUGCUUAUGAGGGGGAAAAAAAAGGAAAUAGGAGAGUUUGUGGCUUUGUGAUACCUAAAACAGGGAGCAUCAUCUAAGUCAUAACAGGAAGAAGAUUCUUUGCAGUAAGCUGCUCUUGAAGAACAAAAAGGAAGGGGGAUUUCUUUCAUCACAGCUGCUUCUCAGGGUUAACUACCUACUCCAUCUUUUCCCCACUCCUUUCUCUUGCCCUACACAUCUCUUCCAUUAGGCUGAGUUGUAUCUUUUAUAAUAAACUGGUCAAUGCAA